CGUCCUGUCGUUUUGAGAACCAUGAAGUUGGCGAUUGCGUGUAUGCUUCUAUUGUACUUUGCAGCUGCGAAUUGCUUCGUUCUAAACAGUGCCUGUCAGAAGAACGGCGGGAUCUGCUACAGCAUAAACGCCGCCGUGUUCUGUGGUGGGAAGCGUACUGUGGACGACUGUGGAGGCAGUUUCUUCUACUGCUGCAUACCUAACUUCAACAUCGGCGAACUGAUUUCCGGUUAACUGUUAACUCUCGAGAGAAAACCUCGUCAUGAACAGGAUAUAUACCCUAAGAUUGAGAGCAAAGGUGUGAUGAUCCCGUGUUUUAUUGACUUUGAUUUAAACGAAAUUAUAAGUGUUAAGUAAUUACCGCUGAGCAAUUUUUCGAUUGAAAGAACCACAAGUCUCUAUCUUUA